GGGAGGGGGAAUCACGUUUCUAUUCACAGGCCUACAGAUCUGGAGGAAGUGCUUGAGAGCUGCGCUUACGAGCUACAUAUACUCCCGUAGUCCCAUCUUCGCCUGGACCUGACUUAGCCCGGUGGAGAGGACCCCCUGUCAAGCAAUGGGAGCCUCCUGCCAACAGCUCUGCAAGUGAGCUUGGAGAGAAUCCUCCAGCCCCAAUCAUAUCCAGAGACUGCAGGCCUGGCUGACACCUUGACUGCAUGCAGCCUAAUGAGAGACCUAAGCUGCUCCUGGAUUCCGGACCCUCAGAAACGGUGGGAGAGAUACGAGGAGAUGCAAGAAUUGGGCUCAUAAAAUCGUCUCCUAAAAAUAUCGAACUCUGAAGACCUGUUGUGCCAGUUUUUCCCAGAGCGCAGAGGGCCUCAUUCCUGCUCUCCACCCUGAACUCCUUUCAGGGGAUGUUGAAGGUCAGCCGCUGCAGCAGCUCCCGAUUUCAUCCUUGUCGAGGUGGAUGGCGAGUGCCAAUUUGUAGUUGGCACGGGUAUUUAAAAAUAGUGUGCAGUCAACAUGAUCAGGAGUGCACUCUAUAACCUGUUUAUCUCUAGCACACAAGCCACAUACCCUUAUUUAGAGAAUUUCCCCUACUUUUAUUACUCUUCCUCUCUGUUCCUGCCUCACUUCGUAACUUUCUCCCUCACUGUCUGGACUGAUGUGGGAGAUCAAUUGAGUA